rnacentral:rRNA from 1 species
GGCCGCAGUAAUUUGACUGUGCAAAGGUAGCAUAAUCAUUAGUCUUUUAAUUGAAGGCUGGUAUGAAUGGUUGGACGAAGUAAAUACUGUCUUUUAGAAAUUUAUGUUGAAUUUAGGUUUUAAGUAAAAAUACUUAAAUAAUAUUAAGGGACGAGAAGACCCUAUAGAGUUUAAUAAUUAUAGUUUUAAUUGAGUUAAAAAUUAAUUUUUAAUUAUUAUGAAGAUUAUUUAAUUGGGGUGAUUAGAAGAUAAGGAGAACUCUUCUUUAAAAUAAAUAUUUUGGAUAAUUUAAAGAUCCAUUUGUAGUGAAUAUAAGAUUAAAUUACCUUAGGGAUAACAGCAUAA